UGAGUACGAGAUGCUACGGCAACGAAGCAGUCUAUGUCAUACUUCCAAGAAAAGCUUGCAAUGUCAUAAACAAAUAAUGCCUGUACCAUAACCGACACAGGUGGGUAGGUAGAGUAUACUAAGGGGCGCGAGAUAACUCUCUCUAAGGAACUCGGCAAAAUGACUCCGUAACUUCGGGAGAAGGAGUGCCUUAUUUUUAUAAGGUUGCAAUAACAAGAUCCAAGCAACUGUUUACCAAAAACACAGGUCUCCGCUAAGUCGUAAGACGAUGUAUGGGGGCUGACGCCUGCCCAGUGCCAGAAGGUUAAAGAAGUUGGUUAGCAUUAGCGAAGCUGAUAACUGAAGCCCUGGUGAACGGCGGCCGUAACAAUAACGGUCCUAAGGUAGCGAAAUUCCUGGUCGGGUAAGUUCCGACCCGCACGAAAGGCGUAAUGAUUUGGAUACUGUCUCGGAGAGGGGCUCGGUGAAAUAGACUUGUCUGUGAAGAUGCGGACUACCUGCACCUGGACAGAAAGACCCUAUGAAGCUUUACUGCAACUUGAGAUUGAAAUUGGACUUUAUCUGCGCAGUAUAGGUGGGAGACGUUGAAAAUAUUCUUGCGGGAAUAUUGGAGUCAUCAGUGAGAUACCACUCUUAUAAUGUUAGAUUUCUAACUUUGUAUCAUUAUCUGGUCAAAGAACAGUUUCAGGCGGGCAGUUUGACUGGGGCGGUCGCCUCCCAAACGGUAACGGAGGCGCACAAAGGUUUCCUCUGAACGUGUAGAAAUCGUAUCUAGAGUGUAAAGGCAUAAGGAAGCUUGACUGUGAGACCUACAAGUCGAGCAGGGACGAAAGUCGGUCUUAGUGAUCUGACGGUGCUGAGUGGAAAGGCCGUCACUCAACGGAUAAAAGUUACUCUAGGAUAACAGGCUGAUCUCCCCCAAGAGUUCACAUCGACGGGGAGGUUUGGCACCUCGAUGUCGGCUCAUCGCAUCCUGGGGCGGUAGUACGUCCCAAGGGUUGGGCUGUUCGCCCAUGAAAGCGGUACGCGAGCUGGGUUCAGAACGUCGUGAGACAGUUCGGUCCAUAUCCGGCGUAGGCGUUAGAAUAUUGAGAGGAGCCUUCUUUAGUACGAGAGGACCGAGAAGGACAUACCUCUGGUGUACCAGUUAUCGUGCCAACGGUAAACGCUGGGUAGCCAUGUAUGGAGAGGAUAACCGCUGAAAGCAUCUAAGUGGGAAGCCCACCUC
rnacentral:rRNA from 1 species